rnacentral:rRNA from 1 species
AUUGAACGCUGGCGGCAGGCCUAACACAUGCAAGUCGAACGCGUGGCGGACGGGUGAGUAAUGUCUGGGAAACUCCCCGCUGGAGGGGGCUAACUCCUGGAAACGGUAGCUAAUACCGCAUACCCUCGGAUGUGCCCAGAUGGGAUUAGCUUGGAGGUGAGGUAACGGCUCACCGCGGCGCCGCUCCCUAGCUGGUCUGAGAGGAUGACCAGCCACACUGGAACUGAGACACGGUCCAGACUCCUACGGGAGGCAGCAGUGGGGAAGAUUGCACAAUGGGCGCAAGCCUGAGCCAGCCAUGCCGCGUGUGUGAAGAAGGUCUUCGGAUUGUAAAGCACUUUAAGUUGGGAGGCGUUACUAACAGAAUAAGCACCGGCUAACUUCGUGCCAGCAGCCGCGGUAAUUC